GCUGCUCUUUAUAUAUAUACCACUAUUCAUUGUGCUCUUAUGAUAUCCAUAUCGCUGAAACUAUUUAUGUUAUAGCCAUUAUAACAUGUAAUAUAUUUUGUUGGCCCAUAACCUAAUGGUUUUAGCUUCUUAGGUAUGGAUUCACCCCCUUACAUGACUUGUAUAUUAUAAAAAGAAUAAAUUGAAGAAAAUUAAAAUAUAUGAAAUGACAAUGGAUGCUUACCAAUUUGUGGAAUCAAUCUACAA
rnacentral:lncRNA from 1 species